GACGAACGCUGGCGGCGUGCUUAACACAUGCAAGUCGAACGGUGAUGCUCCAGCUUGCUGGAGUGGAUCAGUGGCGAACGGGUGAGUAACACGUGAGCAACCUGCCCCAGACUCUGGAAUAAGCUCUGGAAACGGCGUCUAAUACUGGAUACGAAACUGGCCCGCAUGGGCAUGGUUUGGAAAGUUUUUCGGUUUGGGAUGGGCUCGCGGCCUAUCAGCUUGUUGGUGAGGUAAUGGCUCACCAAGGCUACGACGGGUAGCCGGCCUGAGAGGGCGACCGGCCACACUGGGACUGAGACACGGCCCAGACUCCUACGGGAGGCAGCAGUGGGGAAUAUUGCACAAUGGGCGAAAGCCUGAUGCAGCGACGCCGCGUGAGGGAUGACGGCCUUCGGGUUGUAAACCUCUUUCAGCAGGGAAGAAGCGAAAGUGACGGUAACUGCAGAAGAAGCACCGGCUAACUACGUG
rnacentral:rRNA from 1 species